AGGUUUCGCCUGUCCUUCCCGUUCCCGUACUUUGGACACGACUUGACGGACAUUGGAAUCGCCACGGGAGGGUUCCUGUCGACCAUCGAGGGACCCUGGCCACGUCGACCUCACCUCGGCCCAGUUCAUCGCGCCGCUCAUGGCCGACUUCGCUCCAGGACUCGACCCCCGCUCGUCCAUCAACCACUUCGACAACGGCUCGGUGAUGGUGGUGGAGUGGCGCAAUGUCCGGCUGCAGAACGACUCGCGUGGAGCGUCCUUCACCUUCCAGGUGUCGCUGCAUCGGUCGGGCACCAUCGUGUUCGCCUACCGCCAGGUGAGCACCGCCACGGUCCCCGUGCCGAUCGCGUCGCUCGCCACCGCUCGUCACCCCGUGCGCGUCGGCCUCUCGGACGCCUUCACCGUGACCCCACCAGACGCCGCCAGGCCAGGCUGGUCGCGGCGCGUGCUCUACGAGUACGAGCGGGUGAUGCUGGACGUGUCGCUCGUGCGGAGCGGCGCUGCCAUCCAGUUUCUGCCUCUGCCCAUGUGCCAGCAGCUGAGGAGCUGCGCGGAGUGCGUCUCCGCUCGCAUCGGCUUCCACUGCUUCUGGUGCCAUGGCGUGGGCAGAUGCUCCCAUGGGCUGCUGGAUCGCUACCGUCAGGAGUGGGUGCACGCUGGUUGCCCAGAGAAGACACACGGUGACAUCUGCGGCGAGGACCCAGAGGGGAACCUGACCUCCACAGCUCCGGGGACCCGGGGAGGAGCGACCACUGCCCCGUCCGGAGUUUCGCUCGGUGAGGUCCCUUCAUCCCGCAAAGACGGAACAGGCGAUGCCAGGGUGUGGCUCCUCUUCGAUGUCCACGUCGCGAUCCGCCAACUCUCGCCGCCGCUGCCUCCACGCUGCUGGAUUUGCCGGCCACGUGCAGCGGCGUAGCCACGAGGCAGCGUUCAGUGCCGCCAAUCGUUCCCCUCGGCGUUCGAUUCGCGAGGCGUUGAGCGAACGUUCCUAGUUUUCGCGCAAUUUUUUUGGCAAAAACGUGCAAGGUGGACGAGCGGGUCUUUAUUGGCACCACGUCGUUGCACCGUGCUCGUUCUGCGGCUCUCUGAUGACAGUACAACCCGAAACCACACGACCGUCGCUGCGUGCUGGCCGUUCAUUCAUUCGAGUCAAGCCAGAGGGCCCCAGAGAAAACCCCCACGCGCACGAGCACCCUCGACACCCGGCACUUGCACGCACCAACACGCGCGGUCGAGCUGGGUAACCACGUGACUGGGAGCCGCGCUGGCGCGCGUCCUCGCUGCGAUUGUCACCGAUCCGGUUUAGCUGCGGCGCGCGACGGUCAUGGAGACCAUCCUCGAUCCGCGCGAGCCCGCGACGCCGCCUCCCUUCCGCUGCUCCUCCCGGCCCGGCGAGAGCAAGCCUUCACCUGCCUCGCCGUUCGAUUGCUCGUCAUCAAAUUUCGAUGUUUACAUUUUUGCUCAAACAGAAUAUCGGCCCUACUACUCGUGGUCGCCCCCUCCCCUACCUCUCCCUCCCUCCCCCCGACCCCCGGGCUCAAUUCGUUCCUUGAUAUUUUUUCUUCAAAGUGUUCGAACCGGAUUAGAGAGGCAUGGCACCACCUGCUUCUCCGACUUCUCUGAAUCGGUGACACGGACGUCGCGCACGCCCCCACCUCGAUCCCUUCUCGCUCCUGCGCCCCGCGCCGGAAGCAGGCGUCUGCUGGGUGAUUGGUGGUUUCCCGGGGGCAGCAAUCACGGUGGCUUCCUAGAACCGCAUUACUCCUCAAUGAGAGUUGAGCCGGGGGUUCACGUGUGCCUCGUUUGGGGCAGCAGGUGCUGUGCACCACUUCUGGUGCUUGUCGCUCACCCUGCGCUCACGCGGAUGGCCCCGGGGCCACUGUCACGAUGGAUUGGGCUCGAGUGGGAUCAUCCUGCGUCCGUCUGCGUCCGUCUCCGCCUGUCUCCGUGUUGUUGUUGUUGAUAUUGUUGUUGUUGCCUGAAGACGCUUGGCGGUUGAUCCCGAGGCGGCGCUCACCGCCCUGGCCAAGCUGAAGCUUCCGCUUGGCCAGGGCCGUUGAGUUCCACAAGAGCAUGAGAUUAGAGACGACGAAAGAGAGGGGCAGACUAUUGGAGAGAUAGACGCAACAGGACAGGAGAAUGUGAGACAAUUCCUGGCGCUCUCCAUUUAGGAAGAAGACAAUUUACCCGGCGUAUUUGAAUCUUAAUUCCCGUACGUUACCGAACUCGCCGUUUAUCUUCUUUCCGAGGACGAUAUCCCUCCUGUUUUUUCUUGGCAGGGACGUAUGCAUUUCUAUCCACCCUCUCAGUUUUUGCGAGCAGUUUUUCAUCGAAUAGAUGUGGAUAUCCAGUAAAGAGGGCAUGAUGGAGAAAGACGAAGAGGGACGCGAACAGAGACACGGACACAGCGUGGGCAGCCUCAGAGUUUGUGAGGGGCGACGGCGCGAACUGGAGGAGGCGACGCCCUCGGCGGGGCCCCCACAGG